GAUGAACGCUGGCGGCGUGCCUAAUACAUGCAAGUCGAGCGAACAGAUAAGGAGCUUGCUCCUUUGACGUUAGCGGCGGACGGGUGAGUAACACGUGGGUAACCUACCUAUAAGACUGGAAUAACUCCGGGAAACCGGGGCUAAUGCCGGAUAACAUGUUGAACCGCAUGGUUCUACAGUGAAAGGCGGCUUUGCUGUCACUUAUAGAUGGACCCGCGCCGUAUUAGCUAGUUGGUGAGGUAACGGCUCACCAAGGCAACGAUACGUAGCCGACCUGAGAGGGUGAUCGGCCACACUGGAACUGAGACACGGUCCAGACUCCUACGGGAGGCAGCAGUAGGGAAUCUUCCGCAAUGGGCGAAAGCCUGACGGAGCAACGCCGCGUGAGUGAUGAAGGUCUUCGGAUCGUAAAACUCUGUUAUUAGGGAAGAACAAAUGCGUAAGUAACUGUGCGCGUCUUGACGGUACCUAAUCAGAAGGCCACGGCUAACUACGUG
rnacentral:rRNA from 1 species